rnacentral:lncRNA from 1 species
CAUAGGAAGUGGCUUGGUUAAGGAACCCACCGGAGCCGUAGCAAAAGUGAGUCUUCAUAAGGCAAUUGUUACUGCUUAUGGACCCGAACCUGGGUGAUCUAUCCAUGACCGGGAUGAAGCUUGGGUGAAACUAAGUGGAGGUUCGAACCGACUGAUGUUGAAGAAUCAUCGGAUGAGCUGUGGUUAGGGGUGAAAUGCCACUCGAAACCAGAGCUAGCUGG